GCGCAAUCUCGGCUCAUGGCAACCUCCACCUCCCAGGUUCAAGUGAUUCUCCUGCCUCAGCCUCCCGAGUAGCUGGAACUACUCAGGCACCCGCCACCAUGCCCGGCUAAUUGUUUGUAUUUUUAGUAGAGACAGGGUUUCACUGUGUUAUCCAGGAUGGUCUUGAUCUCUUGACCUCAUGAUCCACCCGCCUCGGCCUCCCAAAGUGCUGGGAUUACAGGCGUGAGCCACCGCACCCAGCCGGAAACUGAAUAGGUAUUACAAGGAAGGAACAGUCUCUGUUUUCCUGAACUUCCUCCCGUUCAAGUUAAACUGGAGAAGAUCAUGCCAGGAGAAAAUAGAGAUGAGGUUUUGCCAUGUUGGCCAGGCUGGUCUGGAACUUCUGACCUCAAGUGAUCCACCUGCCUCUGCCUCCCAAAGUGGUGGGAUUACAGAUGUGAGAUACCAUGCCCAGCCCAAAUAAGAAAAACAUGCUCUCUCUUCUCUAAUGAUUGGACAGACUCCUACUCCAAAACAGAAGAUCUCAACUCUGGAAGAGAACAGAUGCCUUCCACUGUGUGAGCGUAAAUUCAGAGCCUUCCAACUUGACAUUCUCAUCGACAAAUUAUUUAAACAUGACGGCUCUUUUAUAAAGAGUGUUAUCUUAAAAGGAAAGGAAUCAAAGGGCUGAACAUGUUGAAGGGAGGAGAAACAAGACCCCCAGGACUUGUCAAUGGCACACAUGAAAGACAGAAAACACCAGAAGCCAGUCUUCAGCCUGCUGGCCCAGCCAUGGCCACUGUAACGUACGGCUAAACCCCUGCCCCGAUCAGCUCUCAAGGCUCUGAGCCAACUGCCUAGACCGUCUAUUUGAGAUCCCUGAGAGUUUCAACACAGGGCAUGGCUGACCUCUCCACCGUGUCAUUUCCAGUAAUGCGGCCUCACUGAUAGCAGAAGUUCGGAGAGCUCUUGUCAGAGAGGCCAGCUGGCACCAUGUGAGUCUUACCCAGAGGGAAACCUGACAAUCUUCCAGCAUGCUCACCAGACUGGGGCACUGACUUUUGUCACUUGAUUCUCAACUCACAGUCUCAAGAUGCUGGUGCUAAUGUACAUUGCAGCUGACACUGGAGUUUAUUUUUAUAACUGCUCUUGCCUCAGAAAAAGCUCCAUCCCAGUACGACUUCCAGGACAGGGAUGGUCUGGAUGCUGCAGUUAGGACAAUGAUCAUCUCGUUCUCUUAGUGGUUAGGAAUCCUGUGGGCUUAUGGAAUAAGCUCGCUGAAACAGACAGUGACAUCCACGGUGACACUGACCGAAUUGUGCUCCAGUGGCCUAGAGAGUGCCUAUUAUUUAUCUCAUUUCUGUUCUGCAUAAUAACACCAACCAAACCGCUAAUGAAUGAAUAUUAUUACAUGCUUUGGUAGGAACGCAAAGGCAAAUUGGGCUCACUGUAGAGAAUAUCUUGCUCCUCAUUUUGUAUUAAAAUGCCUAGACGCCCCUCAAGAGACCAUGUCAAGGAUGAAAUUUAUCCACUGCCUGCAUUUGCUAAUUUGAAAGAGUUCUGAUUUCAUCUGCCGGGCUUAAUAUAGAAAUUCUUUUAACCUGAACAGAUACACAGAAAUGUGGAAUUUAUUCAAUGCCAUUUUCUUGAUUUAUGUCAGGAAAUAUAUAUGGCUAUGCUGUCAUCUUUUUAUAUAUAGACAUCAAUAUAUAUAAAUAUAUAGAGUCAAGUCAGAAAUUCUGAAACCACAUUGCACUUAGCCCUUACAGCAUAAUGCUUUCCAUAUUCUUCACAGUUUGUUUCCCUGAUCCUUUAGAGAGAGCUACUGUGUUUAAAGUGUAAACCAUUUUUACAGAAAAAAUGUAUUACAAUUCUAUAUGAUAAUUCUCAAAGUUCAGGAAAAUAAUCUGAAAUAAACAUUCUAAAUUGAGGAAUGAAUAAUAAAGACUCAUCAAUUGGGCUGGGAGCAGUGGCUCACGCCUGUAAUCUCAGUACUUUGGGAGACCGAGGCAGGCGGAUCACCUGAGGUCAGCCUGGCCAACCUGGUGAAACCCCGUCUCUACCAAAAAAAUACAAAAACUAGCUGGGCAUGGUGGCACAUGCCUGUAAUCCCAGCUACUCUGAAGGCUGAGGCAGGAGAAUUGCUUGAACCUGGGAGGCAAAGGUUCCAGUGAGCUGAGAUCGCCCUAUUGCACUCCAGCCUAGCUGUCUCAAAAAAAAAAAAAAAAAAAAAAGAAAGACUCAUCAAUUGUUUUGACACGUGGUUAGACAAACAGGCUGAUUUAUAGUGCUUGGCCAUAUUCUAAGGAACCCAGUUCUGUGGGUUCUCAGGCAAUGACUGGGACAGGGGCCAUAAGAAUAGCACAACUAUUACUGCAGAAUUGCGUCCCUUAAAUAAGAAUUUCACCAGAUUCUGGGGCCCCUGAACUCUCAUCCUGCAGCUGUGCCUUGUUUGCUGGAUCUUCCAGCCCCAGCUUGAACUGAGACACAGGGACGGCCAUCACGGGGAAGAGGGGGCAGGAGCGUGUCCUCUUCACAGCAGUGCCCAUCAGUGAGUGAGCCUUGCUUUGAAACCUGUGUCUAAUGCAUGUCUGUUCCUGGAAAGUGGUGGUUUAGGAGCAGGUAAGCCACUCUGCUACCCCAGUCUGUUAUUUAUAAUGGUUUGAGUGUGAAAUCAGAAAGAUGCUUUUGCUGUUGUUGGCAUUUCUCA
rnacentral:lncRNA from 1 species